rnacentral:rRNA from 1 species
AGCAGCCGCGGUAAUUCCAGCUCCAAUAGCGUAUAUUAAAGUUGUUGCAGUUAAAAAGCUCGUAGUUGAAUUUCGGGAUCAAUUUGCUGGUCGUGCCUUCGGUACGCACUGGUAUUAUUGGUUUCUCCUUUCUGAUGAAUCGCGAUGUCAUUAAUUUGGUGUCGUGGGGAAUCAGGACUGUUACUUUGAAAAAUUAGAGUGUUUAAAGCAGGCUCACGCUUGAAUACAUUAGCAUGGAAUAAUGAAAUAGGACGUUUGAUUCUAUUUUGUUGGUUUCUAGGAUCGACGUAAUGAUUAAUAGGGAUAGUUGGGGGCAUUAGUAUUCAAUUGUCAGAGGUGAAAUUCUUGGAUUUAUUGAAGACUAACUACUGCGAAAGCAUUUGCCAAGGAUGUUUUCAUUAAUCAAGAACGAAAGUUAGGGGAUCGAAGACGAUCAGAUACCGUCGUAGUCUUAACCAUAAACUAUGCCGACUAG